rnacentral:sRNA from 1 species
GCACCUUAUAAAGCGGGUGCCGGGAUUUGCACCCCGGAAUUGUCAACGGCGAUAUACGACGCGCCAGCGUCUUUUUU